AAACUCUGUACACAUUAGUCACCGACGGAGAAGUUGAUAAUAUUCUAUUUUUACAGCGAAGCGUCAUACUUUCUAGAAGGUAGAUUUCGCCUACUCGUGGAAACGGUCUACACAAUCGUUUAUAUAGUUUUAUACGCGUAUUUUUUGUACAUAUAUAUUUACAUGUUUGAUCUUGUUAUAUUAUAUUUGGAUAUAAAAAUUCAUAUGAUCAUAGUAUUCCUAUCAACAAAGGACAAUUGACGUGUAAAAUGAAAGAGAAACAUUGUGAUUAAAAAUGAGGAUUUGUGAACGGUAGACGAUGACCUAGCUCAUCAGAAACAUGAUAUGAUGGCUACAGCAGUGCCAACAGUGCAGGCACAAUUUUCGAAAUCAAAAUUUCUUAAUUGGAUUAAGGCUGCAAUAGCCAUUUUUUACACUAAAGACGAAAUAGAGCCAGUUAUUGUUAAUGAAGUCAAAGAUUUCCAGCAGAACUCUCUAAAUACUAUUUCCUCAUCAAACAGCCUACCAGCCGGAAGCACCUGUUCAAACUGCUGUACGGAAAAUCUGAUUGUUUGUCCAACAAACAGAAUUUGCAACGCAAAACGAGGAAAAUGCAGUUACCAUAAAAACGCUGCAACACAGUAUCGCCCAUCUGGCUGCCCGAAUAAAAUUUGUCAUCAUUUAAAAUCUAAGAUUCAAAGUGCACAUCGAUAUCAUGGUCCGUCAUAUAAAAAUACGGACGCAACCAAAUGGUGCAGCAAUGCUUGGGAAAUUGCUAAAUGUUAUCUCCCGCCAGACGGAUACAAGGAUGUCUCGAACGCUGGAGAUACUGAUUUUAAUGGCAUCAUUAGUGUCAUUAUUAAUCACAAAGGAUUUGAGGCGAAAAUAAACGACGACUUGUCCAAGAAGAAUAAUAUAUUUGACAAGGGUAGAGAUGUUGGUAAAGCUGUCAGACAUUCUCCUAAUCUGGAGGUCGAGGAUACAGAUCUAACACAGUAUUUACCAUUUUAAACAAUAUUUUGACGGAUCCUGGAUUCAUAAAAUUGAAUAAAUCACCAAACAAUGCAAUUCAAAAAUUGGCAAAGCUUCAAAGUGACGAUUUGAUCAUUGGAAAAGACGUUGUACGUAAAGUUUUGGAAGAUGUGGGAAAAACGAUUCAGGAACAAAUAAGAAAUGAGAUGGAUGAGUACAAACAGGAGACUGAAAAAAAGAAAAUUAGAGCUUAUUGACAUAAUUAACUUAAAAGUAAAAGAUAUUGAAGAUAAAGGAAAUGUUUCACUUGCCAAGCUGAAUGAUACGAUAAACUCGUCCAUUGAUGCUUUUGAUGCUAAGGUAAAACAAUCGAUUCAGGAGAUAGAAAACUUGGCAAGAAAAGGAAAAGAAACCCUUGAAAGUGUUGCCAAUGAUGGAGUUCAAAACGUCAACAAAGAAAAGGAAAAUGCAAUAAAGGAGAAUACAAAAAGCUG